AUGCAAUGGAGCUGGGUCAUCCUCUUGCUUGUAGAAGAAGCUACAGAUAAGGGUGUCCACUCCCAGGUCCAGCUGCAUCAGUCUGGGGCUGAGCUGGGGGUGUCUGGGGCCUCAGUGAAGCUCUCCUACAGGGCAUCUAGCUACACUUUCACUAGCUACACUAUGUGCUGUGUGAACCAGAGGCCUGGAAAUGGUCUGGAGAGGAUUGGAUGGUUUUAUCCUGGAAAUGGUAAUACUAAGUACAAUCAGAAGUUCCAGGGCAAGGACAAAAUGACUGAAGACACAUCCUCUAGCACAGCCUACAUGGAGCUCAGCAGCCUGACAUCUGAGGACUCUGCCAUCUAUUACUGGGUGAGACACAGUGUUAUAACCAUAUCCUCAGUGUUCAGAAAUUCUGGAGGAGCAGGAAGCUGCCUUGAGACCAUGAUGACAGAGAAGAUUAGCCUGGAGACUUGCUCAGAAAUAAUCAUUCUGAGUGUCCAUUUGUCUAUCACUUCAGAGUCCGUUCAUGUCUUUAUCGACUUUUCAAAAGGACAUUAA